UACGAAGGGGGCUAGCGUUGCUCGGAAUCACUGGGUUUAAAGGGUGCGUAGGCGGCCCUGUAAGUCAGUGCUGAAAUAUCCCGGCUUAACCGGGAGGGUGGCAUUGAUACUGCGGGGCUAGAGUACAGAUGAGGUAGGCGGAAUUGACGGUGUAGCGGUGAAAUGCUUAGAUAUCGUCAAGAACACCUAUAGCGAAGGCAGCUUACUAGGCUGUAACUGACGCUGAGGCACGAAAGUGUGGGGAUCAAACAGG
rnacentral:rRNA from 1 species